CUGUCAGAAAAAGGGAGUCUAGUUCGUUUGGCCAUAGGACAAACAUAACAAGGAAAAUGUUGUUUAGAAGCAAGUGGAAAAGACAAACCAGAAAUAUGUCUCAUUUUUGCAAAUGAAGUAUGUGCUAGUCUUAAAUGCCAAAUGUAAUUCAUAUCAGUGGUAACAGCAUUAUUACAAAUGAAACUGUUUACAAUUGGAGGCAAGGCAACAUUUUUGCUGUCAGACACAUUGUCAUCAUUACAAAAUUCAGACAAAGCACAUACAAAAGUAGAUGAAGAACCAGUAGAGGAAGAAGGGGAAGGUGGCACCCAAGACAGUUUGUAUAGGC
rnacentral:lncRNA from 1 species